rnacentral:rRNA from 1 species
UACAUGAAGCUGGAAUCGCUAGUAAUCGCAGAUCAGAAUGCUGCGGUGAAUACGUUCCCGGGUCUUGUACACACCGCCCGUCACACCAUGGGAGUCGGAUAUGCCCGAAGCCGGUGACCUAACCGCAAGGAAGGAGCCGUCGAAGGUGGAGCCGAUGACUGGGGUGAAGUCGUAACAAGGUAAC